ensembl:antisense Dhx58os DEAH (Asp-Glu-Ala-His) box polypeptide 58, opposite strand
AUGGUGUGGUCAGCAGCAGGGAGCAGAGAGGCCAGGCCAGGGAACUGUUUAAAGAGGCCCCGUGGCCACAGUGGCGGAAAGACUGGAGCAGGGUGGGGGCACCGUAGUGGUUUGGAGCAGGAAGCUGGACUUGGGAUGGUUAGGUGGAACUUGGCUGCUUCGAAGUAAAAAGAAAGGUGUUGAUUCAGCCCUGUCCUUGUUCAUGCUUCUGAGUGAGGGUAUAAGUGUUUUGCCUUCCAUUUAAGGUCAAACUGGUCAACAAGACAGACAAUGGGCUACCUCUCCAUCAUUCUGAACCCCAGUUCUGCUUCCAGGCCUAUGACUGGGCUUUGUCAUUGAAGAAUAUUCUAUCACCAGUUCUCAAUAGAGGGGAACAGAGGCACCAACCCUGACCUGUUGUCUGCAGGUCCCGAUACCCCUGAUUUGCUUGGAGGAGAAGAGCCCAGAAGUGACAGGAAGGAUGCAUUGCCACUUUGAUCUAUGAUCCGGAGACACUCAUCCAUGUUGUUCCUGAGCUUCCUCAAGAGAGUGCGAGCCAGAGACACAGAUCCACACGCCUCAGCGGAGAGUUAGAGACAUGGUAAGCCUGGGGGGCAUUGGCUCACACCUGUCAUCCCAGGGCUUAGGAGGCUAACACAAAAGGACUGCUCCUCCUGCCUUGACAAUUAUGCCUUCGUGGCAACCUGGGAGAGCAGGUUGACAAUCAGAUUUCUCUGCUUCUGGUGAGGUCAUGUCUGCACCGCAAGGACCGACCAUCGGACACCGGACCUCAGCCUGCUUCCAGCCUGUAAAACAGCACACUAAGCAAGCAUUCUAGGGACUGAACUGUAUUUUCAGCCCUGAGAGUGUGGCCCUGAUGCUCAGCCUGGUUGACUCUACACUUGAUGGAAAGCAGCCAGAGCAGAACGCUUGAAAGCACAGCCCCAAGUGGGCCCCUGCCGCUCCCCGGAUCCUGGCUCCCCGGAUCCUGCCUCGCCCCACAGACCGACACAGCCAGGAGGAGAUCGGCUUUGCUGUCCUACCCAGGAGGGGACACUUAGACCUGUUGAGCCAUCACCAGGCGCCAGACCACGGGCUAGGCGCUCUUCUGCGUAUUCUCAUUAAAUCCCUGCAGCUACCCUAUGAGGUCGCUCCCGUAGCCCACGGCCACCAUACAGUUGAUGCAGAGAAGUUGCACUUGCUCUGGUAGGAACUGCCCCUGCUGGGUCUCCCGAUGGGCCGCUCGCGCUGCCCGCUUAAGGAGAGAUGCUUGCUGCAAGUCCCGGAUCUGGAGAAGAGGUCGGGGGACAGGACUUGGACAUGGACACCAAGAGACCCAACCUCAGGAAAGCUCUCAGAGUUCCCAAAGACCCCAGAUCAUUUGUACCCGGACCCAGAAGGGACUUGUUUUUUGAGACAGGGUCUCUCACUGAACCUGAAGCUCCCUGUCGCAGAUAAGCUGGCUGGCCAGCAAGCCCAGAAAUCCUUCUGUCUGUCUUCCCAGAGUUAAGAUCACAGAAACACAUUGCUAUGCCCAGACUUUUACUGGACUUGGAAUUCAGGUCCUUGUGCUUGUGUGACCCUCGACUGACUGAGUCAUCUCCCCGUUCCUGUUAAUGUUGUGUUGUAUUCACCCUUUAAAAAAUGUCAUGC